rnacentral:tRNA from 1 species
UUCCUGGAGGAUGGGUGGUUAGGCCUUGGUGCUCUCACCACCGUAGCCCGGGUUCGAUUCCCAGCCAGGGAA